UAAAGAAACACAUGCCCACAAUAGUUAUGUAAACUGGUUUCUAAUUAGGACCAUUCCCUCACAAAUCACAAUGGAUAAGUACAUAUCUUCAAAAGGUCACUUUUGUAAUUUUUCAGUGUCAUACUGCUGAAUACUGUGGGAGAUGCUGAGUGCCAGCAUUAAAGCUGGAAGUGUUUGAGGGCUGUGGACAGAACUCCCACGGAGAGGCAGAGGAAGUGCAGCCUGACAGAUGGAAUCAGCGCCUUUCCAGGAAUGCCCCUGCAUGGGACAUCAACCUCUUGUUCCACAAAAUGCUUCACUCCAGUCACUAUCCCCAAAGUCCUUCAGAAGAAAACUAUCAAUAAGUUCUGUUUUCAAGGAACUAAGUUUUAUUUUAAGCUGAGGAAACACCAUGUCUUCACAAGAUGGAAUGUGCUGCUUUGGGCUAAGCAAACUGGCUGUAGCCUAUUAUUUCCUCCAGCACUUUCAAGACAUGUUUUGUGUCAAUGCACCCUGCUCAAACAAGCAAGAUCACACUGA
rnacentral:lncRNA from 1 species